rnacentral:rRNA from 1 species
CAGCAGCCACGGGAAUACGAAGGGGGCUAGCGUUGUUCGGAUUUACUGGGCGUAAAGGGCGCGUAGGCGGAUUUGUAAGUCAGGGGUGAAAUCCCGAGGCCCAACCUCGGAACUGCCUUUGAUACUGUGGAUCUUGAGUCCGGGAGAGGUGAGUGGAACUGCGAGUGUAGAGGUGAAAUUCGUAGAUAUUCGCAAGAACACCAGUGGCGAAGGCGGCUCACUGGCCCGGAACUGACGCUGAGGCGCGAAAGCGUGGGGAGCAAACAGGAUUAGAUACCCGAGUAGUCCCUGUCUCUUAUAC